UGGGGAAUAUUGCACAAUGGGCGCAAGCCUGAUGCAGCGACGCCGCGUGAGGGAUGACGGCCUUCGGGUUGUAAACCUCUUUCAGCAGGGACGAAGCGCAGGUGACGGUACCUGCAGAAGAAGCACCGGCCAACUACGUGCCAGCAGCCGCGGUAAUACGUAGGGUGCGAGCGUUGUCCGGAAUUACUGGGCGUAAAGAGCUCGUAGGCGGUUUGUCGCGUCGUCUGUGAAAUUCUGCAGCUUAACUGCAGGCGUGCAGGCGAUACGGGCAGACUUGAGUACUACAGGGGAGACUGGAAUUCCUGGUGUAGCGGUGAAAUGCGCAGAUAUCAGGAGGAACACCGGUGGCGAAGGCGGGUCUCUGGGUAGUAACUGACGCUGAGGAGCGAAAGCGUGGGUAGCGAACAGGAUUAGAUACCCUGGUAGUCCACGCCGUAAACGGUGGGUACUAGGUGUGGGUUCCAUUUCACGGGAUCCGUGCCGUAGCUAACGCAUUAAGUACCCCGCCUGGGGAGUACGGCCGCAAGGCUAAAACUCAAAUGAAUUGAC
rnacentral:rRNA from 1 species